ACCCGCUGAAUUUAAGCAUAUAAGUAAGUGGUGGAAAUUAAACCAACUGGGAUCUCUUCAGUAAUUGCGCAUGAACCAGGAUAUGCUUAGCUUGACAAAUGGAGCUGCUGGCUCUGAAUUGUAUUGUGGGAAUGUAUUACCAACAGAGGUGCAGGUCACACUCCUUGGCAUUGGAAUGCAAAGUGGGUGGUAAGUUUCAUGCAAAGGUAAAUAUGCAAUUGAGACUGAUAGCGCACAAGUACCAUGAGGGACAUAUGAAAAGGACUUUGAAAAGAGAAUUAAAUGAGUUUGUAUUUGCUAAACACAAAGUAAACAGACUUGAUUUCCUCAGUGAGAUUGUAGUGCUUGCUUAACAAUGGGUUUUGGCUGCAAGUGCAAUAAUUCUUGCUUUGUGUGCCCGUUUUUAUGUGGACAUUUGAUUACCUUUGCACAUGAAUGGUAAUUUUCCUGCGGGGUGUGGAUUGCAUAUGCAUGUAAUGAUUUGCAUGUUUGUUAAAUGUGUCUGGUGUAUUUGUUUGUGUCCUUGUCCUUGAGGUUGCUUUCUCCCUUGGGCUUACAUGCCCUGGCACACACAUUCUGGCAAAAUGCUUCUGCUUGACCCGUCUUGAAACACGGUCCAAGG
rnacentral:rRNA from 1 species